rnacentral:rRNA from 1 species
AUUGAACGCUGGCGGCAGGCCUAACACAUGCAAGUCGAACGAGUGGCGGACGGGUGAGUAAUGUAUGGGGAACUGCCCGAUCGAGGGGGAUAACUACUGGAAACGGUGGCUAAUACCGCAUACUCUCGGAUGAACCCAUAUGGGAUUAUCUAGUAGGUGGGGUAAAGGCUCACAUAGGCGACGAUCGCUAGCUGGUCUGAGAGGAUGAUCAGCCAAAUGGGAACGGAGACACGGCCCAGACUCCUACGGGGGGAAGAAGGGGGGAAGAUUGGACAAGGACGGCAAGCUGGAUGCACCCAUGCCGCUGGUAUGAAGAAGGCCUUAGGUUUGUAAAGUACGUUCAGCGGGGAGGCGUUACCCGCAGAAGAAGCACCGGCUAACUCCGUGCCAGCAGCCGCGGUAAUAC